CUACGGGGGGCAGCCGUGGGGAAUAUUGCACAAUGGGCGCAAGCCUGAUGCAGCCAUGCCGCGUGUGUGAAGAAGGCCUUCGGGUUGUAAAGCACUUUCAGCGGGGAGGAAGGCGGUGAGGUUAAUAACCUCAUCGAUUGACGUUACCCGCAGAAGAAGCACCGGCUAACUCCGUGCCAGCAGCCGCGGUAAUACGGAGGGUGCAAGCGUUAAUCGGAAUUACUGGGCGUAAAGCGCACGCAGGCGGGCUGUCAAGUCGGAUGUGAAAUCCCCGGGCUCAACCUGGGAACUGCAUUCGAAACUGGCAGGCUAGAGUCUUGUAGAGGGGGGUAGAAUUCCAGGUGUAGCGGUGAAAUGCGUAGAGAUCUGGAGGAAUACCGGGGGCGAAGGCGGCCCCCUGGACAAAGACUGACGCUCAGGUGCGAAAGCGUGGGGAGCAAACAGGAUUAGAUACCCGGUAGUC
rnacentral:rRNA from 1 species